CCUAGGGGCGCACAACUUCUUGGAUCCAGAUGUAGUUUCCUGCUCGGACCGCUUGUGCUUGGAGUCUGGACAGUUGGGGUUGUGCAUGUCUGCGGGUGGACUUGGUGCCCCACGUGCUUUGUGCCGGGCUCUGUGAGUUGCAGCGUGAGACACUAAACAGAUGUUUCAAGAUGCUGUGCCCUUUACCGAUGUCUGAGUUGUCCACACUUCCAUCCUGAUGUCCUUAUGUGGGUGAAGAUGAUCCCAACCUGGAGCCAACACAGAAAAGCCCAUAACCUGUGGUCCUCACCACCUCUACAGCAGUGAAGGUCUCCAGUGUCACCCUGUGGACCCACCACACCCAGCUGAAGAAGGCUCCAGGAGAUAACAGAGAUGGGUGGUCAUCAGGUCCUCCAACUUCCUAAAGAUAGGACUAACGGUCUGUUAACUUUCAAAGACGUGGCCAUAGAAUUCUCCAAGGAGGAGUGGGAAUGCCUGGACUCUGCUCAGCGGACGUUGUAUAGAGAUGUCAUGUUAGAGAUCUACAGUAUCCUGGUCUCUGUGGGUCUUUCAAUAUCAAAACCAGAGCUACUCACCUAUCUUGAACAAAAUGAAGAACCCUACAUUGCAAAAGGCAUAGAACCAGUCCUGUCUUGCUUUCAUAACAAGGAACUGUUCAAAAUAGAGAGCAAACAAGAAUCUGCCCAGAGAGAAGGACCAGGACAAUUUGGAAGUUCCAGGCUUGGAAAGUUACAUGUAAAUCUACCUAAUGACAUGGACUGCAAUGUAGAUCAACAUAAGACUGUGUAUGAGAAUCCAGUAGGACGUGAAAGCCAUCAUUGGUUGGGUAUUUCUGAAUACUGCCACAGAUAUCAGGAAGAUAAUAAAGGCCUUACUACAGACUUUGCACUGCAUAAUAACCACAACAGUCAGUUUACAGAGAUUUCUUACCAAGGUAACGACUCCUGGAAUAUCUAUAAACAAGAUGUAACUCCUAGUGAAGGACAGAUAAGUAAUUGUUCUCUGGAGAAUUGUUACAAUAAUGAUAGAUGUAGGGGUGUCUCUGGUCAGUGCACACAAUCACCUUUGUACCAGCAGGAUUAUAGCCAAGAGAAGCUGUCCACAAGCAGCCAGCAGUAUAAAAUUGCAAAUGAGUGCUCAAAUUGUAGUCAGUGUACUGAAAUUAAGGCUAGAAGAGAAUUUAACAGACAGAGAUAUGAUAAGUACAGCAAAGUCUCUGUUGAAUCACCAAGCAUUGAUAGGGAUAAGGUAAAUGAUAUUCAAAGAAAACCAUGCCUGUUUAUGGGAAGUGAUAAAUCCUUCAAUUUCUAUUUAAAUAUGACUCAAAAUGAUUCAAGCCAUACUAGAGAAAAACCUCAGAAAUAUAAAGAAUAUAGACUGGAGAUUACCUCUCCUUCGAAACUUGUUGGGCAUCCGAGAUCCUUUGUUCAACAAAAAUAUAGGAAAUCUGGGAAAUGCUCCAGAAGUUCUUCAGACCUCAGUAGACUUAAGAUGCUUCAACCUGGAGGAACGCCAUGCAAAUCUACAGAAUGUGGGAAGUCCUUUUCUCAGUUCUCAGGCUACAGAGAGAAUGGUACAAUCCAUACUGGAGAAAAACCUUAUAAAUGUAAAAUAUGUAAAAGAUCUUUUACUACAGGUUCAUAUCUGCAAGCUCAUCAGAGAAUCCACACUGGUGAGAAACCAUAUAAAUGUAAAGAGUGUGGCAAGUCCUUUACUCACGGCUAUUCUCUUCGAAUUCAUCACAGGUUUCAUACUGGAGAGAAACCUUACAAAUGUAAAGAUUGUGGCAGGUCUUUUGCCGAGGGCUCAUCUCUUAAAUCCCACCACAGAAUCCAUACAGGAGAGAAACCCUACAAAUGUAAAGAAUGUGGAAAGUCCUUUGCCAAACAAUCAAAUUUUGAAACUCAUAGCAGAAUUCAUACUGGAGAUAGACCUUACAAAUGUACAGAUUGUGGCAAGUCCUUUACCAGGAGCUUCUGUCUUCGAAAACAUCACAAAACCCAUACUGGAGAGAAAGCUUAUAAGUGUGAAGAAUGUGGAAAGGCUUUUACCCAGCGUUCAACUCUUAAGACCCACUACAGAAUCCAUACUGGAGAGAAACCUUACAAAUGUAAUGAAUGUGGCAAGUCUUUUACUGAAGGCUCAACUCUUAAAACCCACCUCAAAAUCCAUACUGGAGAGAAACCUUACAAAUGUAAAGAAUGUGGCAAGUCUUUUGCUGAGGCCUCAACUCUUAAAACCCACCACAGAAUCCAUACAGGGGAGAAACCUUACAAAUGCACAGAUUGUGGCAAGUCCUUUACCCAGAGCUCACAUCUUCAAAGCCACUGCAGAAUCCAUACAGGAGAGAAACCUUACAAAUGCAAAGAAUGUGGCAAAUCUUUUGCUAAGGACUCAUCUCUCCAAAAACAUCACAGAAUCCAUUCAUGAGAGAGUCUUUACAGAUGUAAAGAAUGUUCAAAAUCCAUUACUUGGUUCUCAAAUCUUAUAGAUCAUCCUGGAAUCCAUACUGGAAACAAACGUUACAAAUGCAAAGAAUGUUUGAAGUCCAUUACCACAGGCUGUAAAUUUAGAACACAUUAUAAAAUUUAAGCAUGAGACAAAAGCAAGGGUAAUUACUGAUACACUGUUCACCCAAGAAGUAUGUUUUGUUUUGGUUUUGUUUUGUUUUUAUGAAGAAUGGAUGGAAGUCUUUAACCACUCACUGUUCAACUCUUCAAUAUUGGAGUCACAUCAGGUAUCCCUAUACUGGUUUGAAUUUGAAAAAAAAUUUCCAGUGUGGUGGUUUGAAUAUGCUUGGCUGAGGGAGUACACAACUAGGAGGUGUAGCCUUGUUUGAAUAGGUGUGGCCUUGCUGGAGGAAGUGUGUCUCUGUUGGGGUAGGAUUUGAGACCCUCUUUCUAGUCAUCUGGGAGCCAGUCUUCUACUGUUUGCCUCCUGAACAAAAUGUAGAACUCUCAGCUCCUCCUGUGCCGUACCUGCCUGGACCCUGCUGUACUUUCUCUCUUGAUUAUGCUCUGAGUCUCUGAACCUGUAAGCCAGCUUUGAUUAAAUAUUGUUCUUUUAAGAGUUGCCUUGGUCAUGUUAUCUUUUCACAGCAAUGGAAACCUUAAGACACCCCAAAAUGCAUCUUAUAUUCACUCUGGUGGUUUGACUGAAAAUAGCAUACACAGACAUAUAGGGAGUGACAUUAGAUGGUGUGGUCUUGUUGGAGUAGGUGUGGUUUUGUUGGAAGAAGUAUGUCAUUGGAUUGGGCCUUGAGGUUUCAGAUGCUCAAGUGAAACCCACUGUCAUUCUUUCUUCCUGGUGCCUGCUGAUCCAAAGGUAGAAAUCUCAGCUAUCUCUGGAGCACCAUGUCUACCUGCAUGCCACUAUGUUUCCCACCAUGAAGACAAUUUGCAAAAACUCUGCAUCUGCAAGUCAGCCAAAAUAAAAUAUUUUUCUUUAUAGGAGUUACUGUAGUUAUGAUGUCUCUCCACAGCAAAAGAAACCCUAACUAAUAUAUUCACUAAGCAAUUUCUUUGAAAAUAGACUAUGCCAGGCGGUGGUGGCACAUGCCUUUAAUCCCAGCACUUGGGAGGCAGAGGCAGGCGGAUUUCUGAGUUCAAGGCCAGCCUGAUCCACAAAGUGAAUUCCAGGACAGCCAGGGCUAUACAGAGAAACCCUGUCUCGAAAAACAAAACAAAACAAAACCAAAAAACAACAAAAAAAAGGAAAAUGAACUACAUAUGUACUAAUGUUUCAUACAGAAUUAUUCUGAAAUCAACUACUAAUAAUGGUAUAGAAUUCAUGUUAUAUUUGACUAAACUGGUAAUAAUUUAAAAUGUAUGAACUUGUACCUGAGUAAGAUUUCUCAUAACCAUCUAAAGUCAAAACUGUUGCAUAACAUUUGUAUAUUUCAGUGGAACAGGAUAUUUUUAUAUGAUGAAAAGAUUACUGUUGAUACUAUUUGAGCUUUAAGUUUUUGUUACAGAUUGUUUAUAAUGUUAAAUUACCUUCUUUGUUCGACUACAAAUAAAGAAAUUGGAGCUUACGUUUACUUACUGCUGUCUUGGGAUAAUGAGUGCCUGUUUUAUACUGGAAAGGUAUCAUUAAUGUUAGGCAUUCCAUGAGUGAUAAUUCCAACAAAAACAUCUCAUAAAAUUACAGUGGGGAAUUGUGGGCUUUUUUAUGGAUGUGGAACAUAGAAUGUAGACAGUAAAAUUGGAUGUCACGCUGGGUGUGGUGGCACAUGCCUUUAAUCCCAGCACUCGGGAGGCAGAGGUAGUCAGAUUUCUGAGUUCGAG
rnacentral:lncRNA from 1 species